GGCGGAAUGCUUUACACAUGCAAGUCGAGCGGCAGCGCGGGGCAACCUGGCGGCGAGCGGCGAACGGGUGCGUAACACAUCGGAACAUGUCCAUUCGUGGGGGAUAGCCCGGCGAAAGCCGGAUUAAUACCGCAUGAGCCCGAGAGGGGAAAGUGGGGGACUCGCAAGAGCCUCACGCGGAUGGGUUGGCCGAUGUCCGAUUAGCUAGUUGGCGGGGUAAGAGCCCACCAAGGCGAUGAUCGGUAGCUGGUCUGAGAGGAUGAUCAGCCACACUGGGACUGAGACACGGCCCAGACUCCUACGGGAGGCAGCAGUGGGGAAUUUUGGACAAUGGGGGCAACCCUGAUCCAGCCAUUCCGCGUGAGUGAAGAAGGCCUUCGGGUUGUAAAGCUCUUUUGUCCGGAGCGAAAAGGUUACGGUGAAUAUCCGUGACUACUGACGGUACCGGAAGAAUAAGCACCGGCUAACUACGUGCCAGCAACCGCGGUAAUACGUAGGGUGCGAGCGUUAAUCGGAAUUACUGGGCGUAAAGCGUGCGCAGGCGGUUUUGU
rnacentral:rRNA from 1 species